ACACAACAUUCCAACUCCGAACGCCCCGCUGCUGGCCGCCGCCGCCGCCUAUUGGCUCGCCCCGUUCUGAUUGACAAGCUUGGCAGCUAAUGGCCGCUGGUUUCCAAGGAGGCCGGUGGCACCGCCCCUCGCAGCGCCGGCAGUAACAAUAUGGCAGCGGCGCCUAUUGGUGGCGGCGUGUUCUGAGCGGCGGUGGCCGCAGGCGCCCGGCGGCGGCGACAGGGAGCAGCUCCCUGGGCGGACGGCGGCUCCCGGUGCCGAGCGCAGCCGCGGCAGGGGAGUGUGCUGGUACCUGAAGGUGAGGCUUGACCCAGGGCGCAGCCGUUUGGUGCAUCAGCCCUGCACCCUGAUUGCUGGAGCCCAGUUCCCCAGAGAGGCUUCUUGCGGUUGUCCCAGAGCAUCCUCACAGCUCGUCUCCAGACCCUUGUGCUAAGGAGAAGCCAACUGGAGGAAACGUGAAGGCCAAAAUCUCUUAAUGGGACUACACAGAUUAAAACACAGACCUUCUCUUUCGAGGUACCUCUCUGCAGAUGGUACUGUCCAACUUGGUCUUUCUGGAGCUGCUAUAUUCACCUAGAAGCUGUUAGACCUUUGAAAAACAAGAGAUCUUGCCAAGAAGCUACGAGGGACAACAAAUGCUUUCCUACCUUCCUACUUACUUCUGUAACGCCCUCAUGGCAAUGCUCCAUUCCCUGCAGAAGAGAACGAAUGGUCUCUUAGAAAUAAAAAUGUUUAAGGCUUCUUUGAAGCACACAAUGUAAUACAUAGUGAAAUGUUUAUCUGAAAAACUGGGUCAGCAGCUGCACGUUUUAUCAAAGAAAGUAUAUUCAGAAAUGUUUAUAGAAACAUGACAGCACUAAAUCUGGGUAGUUGGUCACUAAUCUUUGCAAAGAUACAAAACUGAUUACAUAAAAAAAAAAUCCCCUCAGGCACCCUGUUACUUAUAGGGUAUGUAUGACCCAGGCUUUGAAAGACUCCUUUCCUGCCCUUAUUCUUCUUCACACUUUGCCAUGUGGUCACUCCAAAUCACUGCCAGCUGGCCUGUUUGUCAUGUGUGUUUGUUUGUGCUGCUUCUAAUUUUUGCCCUUUCGAAGAGACAGACAAAAUCUGUGGUUUAUGCAAAUCUUUGAAUUUGCAGCCAGUCUAAUAGGGGGAAGGAAAAAUACAGGGAGUUUAAACAGCAGAAGGGAACGGAUUCUGUUCUUUAGUGCCUCACUAUUGACCACAGAACCUAGCAUACCUAUAAAUGAGUUGAAGUCUUGCCUGUUGUGUUUGAGGUUUUCUCACCUCCAUGUGGCCUUCUACCCUUAUUUCAGACAUCAGGUUAGGUUCCUUCUGAUGUGUUUUCAGCUUGACGAAUAUGGUUUGUUCUGUUUGU